rnacentral:rRNA from 1 species
ACGCUCGACACCUACGGGAGCAGCAGUGGGGAAUAUUGCACAAUGGGGGAAACCCUGAUGCAGCGACGCCGCGUGGAGGAAGAAGGUCUUCGGAUUGUAAACUCCUGUUGUUGGGGAAAAAGAGGAUGGUACCCAACAAGGAAGUGACGGCUAACUACGUGCCAGCACGCCGUACGGUAAUCUGAGGCGGGCGUGGACGAAGGC